rnacentral:snoRNA from 1 species
UCGUCAGUGAGGUAUAUCCUUACCUGUUCCUCCUCCGGGAGAACAGUACAUGAUGAAUGGAGAACGCAUGAGAAAUGAUUAUAUUCUCUCUGCAGGGGUGGGGAACGCAACACCCCGCCCUGCUCCUUUCUGAU